ACGCCGCGUGCGGGAUGACGGCCUUCGGGUUGUAAACCGCUUUUGACUGGGAGCAAGCCCUUCGGGGUGAGUGUACCUUUCGAAUAAGCACCGGCUAACUACGUGCCAGCAGCCGCGGUAAUACGUAGGGUGCAAGCGUUAUCCGGAAUUAUUGGGCGUAAAGGGCUCGUAGGCGGUUCGUCGCGUCCGGUGUGAAAGUCCAUCGCUUAACGGUGGAUCCGCGCCGGGUACGGGCGGGCUUGAGUGCGGUAGGGGAGACUGGAAUUCCCGGUGUAACGGUGGAAUGUGUAGAUAUCGGGAAGAACACCAAUGGCGAAGGCAGGUCUCUGGGCCGUCACUGACGCUGAGGAGCGAAAGCGUGGGGAGCGAACAGGAUUAGAUACCCUGGUAGUCCACGCCGUAAACGGUGGAUGCUGGAUGUGGGGACCAUUCCACGGUCUCCGUGUCGGAGCCAACGCGUUAAGCAUCCCGCCUGGGGAGUACGGCCGCAAGGCUAAAACUCAAAGAAAUUGACGGGGGCCCGCACAAGCGGCGGAGCAUGCGGAUUAAUUCGAUGCAACGCGAAGAACCUUACCUGGGCUUGACAUGUUCCCGACAGCCGUAGAGAUACGGUCUCCCUUCGGGGCGGGUUCACAGGUGGUGCAUGGUCGUCGUCAGCUCGUGUCGUGAGAUGUUGGGUUAAGUCCCGCAACGAGCGCAACCCUCGCCCUGUGUUGCCAGCACGUCGUGGUGGGAACUCACGGGGGACCGCCGGGGUCAACUCGGAGGAAGGUGGGGAUGACGUCAGAUCAUCAUGCCCCUUACGUCCAGGGCUUCACGCAUGCUACAAUGGCCGGUACAACGGGAUGCGACACCGCGAGGUGGAGCGGAUCCCUUAAAACCGGUCUCAGUUCGGAUUGGAGUCUGCAACCCGACUCCAUGAAGGCGGAGUCGCUAGUAAUCGCGGAUCAGCAACGCCGCGGUGAAUGCGUUCCCGGGCCUUGUACACACCGCCCGUC
rnacentral:rRNA from 1 species